CUCCUUUUGAACUCAUCGAAGCUCUACUUAAGUACAUUGAAACCCUUAAUGUUCCUGGAGCUGUGUUGGUUUUUUUGCCUGGCUGGAAUCUGAUUUAUACUAUGCAGAAGCAUUUGGAAAUGAAUCCACAUUUUGGAAGCCAUCGGUAUCAGAUUCUACCCCUGCAUUCUCAGAUUCCUCGAGAGGAACAACGCAAAGUGUUUGAUCCAGUACCAGUUGGAGUAACCAAGGUAAAUAUAAACAUUACAGUGAUGGGAUUGGAAGUGACAUAGAUACUAAACAAAUGUUACAAGCCUUCAAAGAGCUACCCAAAAAAUUGUAACCCACCUAAAUUGAGGAAGAAAAAAGGAGUCUUCUCUUUCUGAGCUUAGUAGACUAUUCAUUAAUCAGUUAUUGGGUGAUCUUUUUAGGACUUCUGUAAUUUUCUCGUCAUU
rnacentral:sRNA from 1 species